rnacentral:lncRNA from 1 species
GCAGCUUGGCGCCACCAGGCGGUGGGCGGGGCGGGGAGUCCGGAGUGGGGCGAGGGUUGGGAGGGAGGUUUGGGUAGGGAGGAAUGGGGAACUCGAGUGGGUCAGGGGGUCUAGGGACGAGGGCAGGCUGCAAUGUCUGUGGAGAAAGCGCUUCCGUUCCAGUUUUCACACCCGGGCCAGAAAGUACGGAGUAAGCAGCUUAAGGAGCCGCGGGGACGCAAUAAGGCCCGGAUACCCCGCGCCCAUAUUCUUCGGGGGGACCAAAGGAAAUCGCCACCGAAGUCACACUGCAAGAAGGCGCAAGUGAGAGAGAAAGAGAAGGUGUGGGUACCCUGGAAUGGACUCAUCGUGAUUGGGAAGAGAGUGGAACUCUUGGACAGAAACGUGCAAAAGUCUAACCCAAAGUUGGAAUCUGAGGACUGGAAGCUGGAGGGCACCGGGAAGAAGUUCUCAAGAGAGAAAUCGGGCCUGCAACAGGAGGCAGUGGUCGCGAAGCUCCUGAGCAGUUUCCUAAGACUUCCAGACCAGACCUGCUCGACAGGCGUUCUCCUGACAGCCUUCCACACUGGCACCUGGGCUCUUACAUCACAGAGCACCCGUUCCUGAGGCCUUCCUCUGAAUCAAAGGAUACCCAGACACACCAGUGGACAAAGACCCCCUCCCUCAGAGGAGCUACUCGGUUCAAAGGCAUUUGGAAAACAGAAGUAAGACAACAGAGAAGUUUUAUUAGCCUCUCAAAGUUUCUGGUAUGUGGAUUAUUAUUCUGCCUCAAAUUUUGCGGACUUAGUGAAGAAAAACACCUAGACUCCCAGCCUGUUCUUGCCCUUGCCUUAGUACUUCAGAUGUGGACUUAGACUUGGUGUCGAAUCGCCAUCGCCAUCCCAUUUGCUUGAGGAGCAUCAGUAGGACCCACCGUCAGCCUCCGGCCACACCCGAGCAGUCAGGUGUCACCAGGUUUAGCAGGAAAACUGGGGCCCUGAGAAGGGUGUGGAGUCAGGGAGGGAAGAAAGAGGAGAGGCACUGUCCCGGGAAGGACAGGAGGAACAGUCCAUCUCUGGGAUAGCAGGAGGAAGGUCUUUAAUGAAACAUCUCAGAGAACAGGGUGGGUCUGCAAAACCACCCCAGGACCAAGGCACAGAGGAGGUUUGAAAUGUCCAGGAUAAAUAGAACCAGUGGGGGUGGAGAAAAGCCAGCUCCCCCCCUGAGUCUUACUGUGGGCACCAAAAAUAUAUUAACAUCUGUACAUUAACAUCUGUACUAACAUCUGUACAUUUGUCAUCUUUUAAAAAAAAAAGGAAUAAAACCUCCUUGGCACCUUAUGGUUGGUUUCUU